UAGGACAUGGUGUAAAGGGUAGCACGAAGAAUUUUGAAUUCUUAGGAUUAGGUUCGAUCCCUAUAGUUCUAGA
rnacentral:tRNA from 1 species